UACGGGGGGAGCAAGCGUUGUUCGGAUUUACUGGGCGUAAAGGGCGGGUAGGCGGCCACCGCAAGUCAGUUGUGAAAUCUCUGGGCUUAACCCAGAAAGGUCAACUGAUACUGCGGGGCUAGAGUGCAGAAGGGGCAACUGGAAUUCUCGGUGUAGCAGUGAAAUGCGUAGAUAUCGAGAGGAACACCUGCGGCGAAGGCGGGUUGCUGGGCUGACACUGACGCUGAACUGCGAAAGCUAGGGGAGCAAACGGG
rnacentral:rRNA from 1 species